UGGGGAAUUUUGGACAAUGGGCGAAAGCCUGAUCCAGCAAUGCCGCGUGUGUGAAGAAGGCCUUCGGGUUGUAAAGCACUUUUGUCCGGAAAGAAAUCCUUGGCUCUAAUACAGUCGGGGGAUGACGGUACCGGAAGAAUAAGCACCGGCUAACUACGUGCCAGCAGCCGCGGUAAUACGUAGGGUGCAAGCGUUAAUCGGAAUUACUGGGCGUAAAGCGUGCGCAGGCGGUUUGCUAAGACCGAUGUGAAAUCCCCGGGCUCAACCUGGGAACUGCAUUGGUGACUGGCAGGCUAGAGUAUGGCAGAGGGGGGUAGAAUUCCACGUGUAGCAGUGAAAUGCGUAGAGAUGUGGAGGAAUACCGAUGGCGAAGGCAGCCCCCUGGGCCAAUACUGACGCUCAUGCACGAAAGCGUGGGGGAGCAAACAGGAUUAGAUACCCCUGGUAGUCCACGCCCUAAAUUGAUGUCAACUAGUUGUUGGGGAUUCAUUUUCCUUAGUAACGUAGCUAACGCGUGAAGUUGACCGCCUGGGGAGUACGGUCGCAAGAUU
rnacentral:rRNA from 1 species